AAAAGCUACUGCAACGGUUUUAAUUAACUAAAAAAACAAUUAUCGGUUUCUUACAUCUUUCACUCCUUCAAUAAUUUUUCAUAAAGUUUUUAGUUGCUACAAAGAAUACAAUUCUCUCCGUGAAGUCGAGGGCCUGUUUUGCGUUGAUUUAAUUCUUCAAAUAUCCAAACCAAGAGCUGUCACAUUAUGCCCUGAAGAUUUCAUCAAUUCUUCAAUCUUAUUCCUGUACCAGGCUCCAUGGCAUAUCCAUUUCAUUAAGUCUCAAACCCACCCAAAAAGAAAUCACUCCGACCAAUUCUCUCAAAUCGACCACCACUUUAAGAAGCCAAAAAGUGCGGCCACUGCUGCUCCGACUUCAGCUCCUCCACUGCUCCGACAACCACUUCGAUUUCCGAGAAAAUUUGUCAUUUUCUUCUUUAAUUUGGUGAUUUUAAGGAAUUUAACCACAUGUUACACAAUGCCGUGAUGAUCUACCACAAGUACUUGAAGACGGAUAUGGAGGAUGGCUAAGUCAAAACAUAAUGUAUUCUGGAUACUUUCCACCUGUAAUUCUUGAAAGGACUUCACUGCAUAUGAGGAUGUUUGCUUCAAGGAAUUUGGUGAUAGGGUUUUGUAUUGGACUACUGUGAAUGAGGCCAAUGUAUUUGCUUUGGGUAGUUAUGAUACGGGAUCUACUCCCCAGGGCGUUGUUCCCCAGCUUUUGAAAUAAGACCUUGUUCUAGGUGCAACCCUCCAACCAAACCAUACAUAGAAGCUCAUAAUAUACUGCUUACUCAUUCAUCUGUUGUCAGAUUGUACAAGAGAAAGUACAAGUUAACUCAACAUGGUUUUAUGGGAUUAAAUAUCUUUGCAUACUGGUUUAUUUCUCAUACAAACACGAUGGCAGCUGAAGCUGCAACUCUGCGAUCUUAUGAUUUCUACCUCGAUUGGUUCACCAGUCCUUUGAUAUUUGGAGAUUAUCCUGUCACAAUGAAAAGGAGGGUCGGUUCGAGGAUGCCCGCAUUUACCAUACAGCAAUCUAAGCAAGUUAAGGGUGCUAUGGAAUUCAUAGGUGUAAAUCAUUGUACAACAAUCUAAGCAAGUUAAGGGUGUUAUAGACUUCAUAGGCCUAAAUCAUUAUACUACAGUGAGUGUUAAAGACUGGCUUGAUGCCCUUGCAAGAGAUUUAAGGGACUUCAACAUCGAUUCAGGAGCUCAAAUUGAAUGUAAGUGACUGAUGCUGCAUAAAUAGAGAUGCUUCGAUGUAUUGGCAUUGUUGAUCAAGUUAAUCUAGUGAUAAAUUCAGAAAAUCCAAAUGAGAAGACCAAUCCAGUUUUCUAGUUGAUGCCAUCAGUAUUUUUCUGUUAUUAUUUGUUCAUAUGAAGAAAUUCUUAUGUUUUUUAAAUUCUUUAACGGGUUUUUUGAUUUGAACAGUCAAGCAUGUUGGUGAUCCACCAAAAAGCGAGGUGAGUUUCUCCCUUAGGCUUGGGACAUGCAUGAUCUUUAUAUGCACCUUGGCGUUAUUUUAUCUGUUAUUCACAUGUUGUUUUGACUCAGUUUCUAGUACACAACCGGGUCUCCAUGCAGUUUUGGAGCACCUCAAGAGAACUUUGGUAACCUACUAAUUUACAUUCUUGAAAAUGGUUCGUCUUUCUAUCUAGCUCAACACUUAUUUUGAGCACAUGAAAAUUUGUUUAUAGGCUUUGAGAACUCUCUUGGAGCCUCAUGAAUCAAUGCUUUCUGAGCAUGAUUUAUGUUGGCAGGUUAGAUAACUCUAUGAAACAUGACACUAAAUGAUACAAGCAGAGUAGAAUAUUUGCAUAUUUAUAUCAGGAAUUUGCUUGAUGCUGUGAGGUAAGCAACUCCCACAUGGAACAUUCAUUAUUAGUCAUUGACUAUGUACAAUCAUUCACUUUUGAAAUAGACGUAGUAAAGAGUCCAAGUAUUCUGGAACAAAAUUAUAUAAUACAGUUAUUUUCGAUCUUUUGGAAAUUUUAGUUUUCCUGUUUCCUAGUCCUCUUUCCUGCUCGUUGACACCUUUAAUUGCAAGAAUCUAAUGAAAGUGAUCCCCCUAUCCUCCUGAAUGGGGCUUCUCUUGUAUUGAAUUCGCUGGAUCACUACAUAUUUAUUAUAGUAAAACGUGUUUUCUUAUUCACUGGCUUGUUGUAACAUGAAUUUUAUUUUAAAUUUUCUCUAUGUUUCUUUGAGUUAAAAAGUAACCCAAGUGAUUUCCAGUCUUGUUCUUAACAAAUGAAAUUUCAUCUUGUCACUAAAGAGGAAAAAUGCUUUUCAGGUUUCCAUAUUUAUGUCUAUCUCGAGGGAAGCUAAGGAAGGGAUGCAUAUUCUGAAUGCUAUAACAUUUCUCGAAUUGGAAUGCAACAUAAAAUAGGUGUCCAAAAUCAUGAAGGAGAUGAAGAAAGAAGUGAUAAAAAAAUUGACAAGAUUUUUGAAUUGCUGAUAGAUGCUUUAAUAUCGAUCUUUUUGAUUUUGAAUUUCGUGAAACUUAUCGCCACUCGAAUUUGAUACUAUGUGGGAAAACUAAUGAUCAUUUGACUUUAAUAUUUUGCUUUUGAGUUUAGAUUACUAGUUUGUUGCAUAA